UGGGUGACGGUGAGGUCCACGCCGUCGUUCGCGACGACGCCGGGGAACCGCUUGGUGAUCCCGCGCAGUUCGACCGCGUGGCGCUCGUC
rnacentral:tRNA from 1 species